rnacentral:rRNA from 1 species
UACGUAGGGUGCAAGCGUUGUCCGGAAUUAUUGGGCGUAAAGAGCUCGUAGGCGGUUUGUCGCGUCUGCUGUGAAAACUCGGGGCUUAACCCCGGGCCUGCAGUGGGUACGGGCAGACUAGAGUGCGGUAGGGGAGACUGGAAUUCCUGGUGUAGCGGUGAAAUGCGCAGAUAUCAGGAGGAACACCGGUGGCGAAGGCGGUUCUCUGGGAAUGUACUGACGUGAGGAGCGAAAGCGUGGGGGAGCGAACAGG